rnacentral:rRNA from 1 species
AAACUUUUAAUAACGGAUCUCUUGGUUCUAGCAUCGAUAAAGAACGCAGCGAAAUGCGAUAAGUAAUAUGAAUUGCAGAAUUCAAUGAACCAUCGAAUCUUUAAACGCAUAUUGCGCCCGCCAGCACCCUGGCGGGCAUGCCUAUCCGAGCGUUAUUU